AUUGAACGCUGGCGGCAGGCCUAACACAUGCAAGUCGAACGAGUGGCGGACGGGUGAGUAAUGUCUGGGAAACUGCCCGAUGGAGGGGGAUAACUACUGGAAACGGUAGCUAAUACCGCAUACCAUCGGAUGUGCCCAGAUGGGAUUAGCUAGUAGGUGGGGUAACGGCUCACCUAGGCGACGAUCCCUAGCUGGUCUGAGAGGAUGACGAGCGACACUGGAACUGAGACACGGUCCAGAGUCGGACGGGAGGCAGCGGUGGGAAAUAUUGCACAAUGGGCGCAAGCCUGAUGCAGCCAGGCCGCGUGUAUGAAGAAGGCCAUCGGGUUGUAAAGUACGUGCAGCGGGGAGGCGUUACCCGCAGAAGAAGCACCGGCUAACUCCGUGCCAGCAGCCGCGGUAAUUC
rnacentral:rRNA from 1 species